CCUACGGGAGGCAGCAGUGAGGAAUAUUGGUCAAUGGACGAGAGUCUGAACCAGCCAAGUAGCGUGAAGGAUGACUGCCCUAUGGGUUGUAAACUUCUUUUAUAAAGGAAUAAAACGAGGCACGUGUGCCUUUUUGCAUGUACUUUAUGAAUAAGGAUCGGCUAACUCCGUGCCAGCAGCCGCGGUAAUACGGAGGAUCCGGGCGUUAUCCGGAUUUGUUGGGUUUAAAGGGAGCGUAGAUGGGUUGUUAAGUCAGUUGUGAAAGUUUGCGGCUCAACCGUAAAAUUGCAAUUGAUACUGGCAGUCUUGAGUACAGUUGAGGUAGGCGGAAUUCGUGGUGUAGCGGUGAAAUGCUUAGAUAUCACGAAGAACCCCGAUUGCGAAGGCAGCUUACUAAACUGUGACUGACAUUGAUGCUCGAAAGUGUGGGUAUCAAACAGGAUUAGAUACCCUUGUAGUC
rnacentral:rRNA from 1 species